CAAAAAUGGCUCAGGAGAGAGACAAUCACCACCUCACCUCCGAAAAGGUCUCCAACAGGAUCAGUAAAUAAUCUGUAUAAGCCCCUCCACCUGCCAGGUUCUAGACCUGAUUAAGACGGCCAAUCAGAAUUGGGAAACAGCCCAGACUUGAACAAAAGUCUGUCUGUCUCAGUAAUUAUUGACUAAGUCAUCAGAUUCCUGCUGCGGAGGGAGUUAAUGUUGGAAGGGGUAUCCAACAUAAUUCCACUCUGUGCCUGGUGGACUGCCAGUGACACCCCCCCCC